CACGAGCAAAAAAAAACAUGGAGAAGGAAUAUGAAGAGGGACGAAAAACAUCGCUAUUAGACGUUGAGGAACAACAUAUGGAGAUGAUUAUGAUGGACUUACUUUGCUCCCUCAGUGUUGUUGCUAACCAUAUUUACUGAUCCGAAGGCCUCUUAGGAGCUUGAAAGAACUGACACUGAUUACUAUGUGACACUACUGUAACUGCGGUCACUUAGACCAGUUAGACACCGUGAACCUAACAAAAUGUGACAUGAAAACAAUGCAUUCCAACUAUGAGUGCUGGAGCAGGAGCAAGAACCUAUAAUUCCUCUCAGUAUGGUGUUUCAGCACAAAUCAGGCAAGUAAAUAUUAUAGUUGUUCAGAUAUAACCCGAGUUUUAGGCCCAUGCAAGGGAAGGGGGCAGGGGAGGAGAUCAGAGGGAAGAAAGUGGACCUUGUGUUGAGUUUCCAUAUUCUGGACGCACUUCUGAUUGGACAAAGAUUUACCAGAAGUAUAAUUACAAAUCUACCACUUCAUUACUA